rnacentral:tRNA from 1 species
GUCCGUCUACUCCAAUUGGUAGAGAGAAUGCACUUAGACUGCAUGUAGUGUCAGUUCGAAUCUGACGACGGACACCA